GACGAACGCUGGCGGCGUGCUUAACACAUGCAAGUCGAACGCUGAAGCUCAGCUUGCUGGGUGGAUGAGUGGCGAACGGGUGAGUAACACGUGAGUAACCUGCCCCCUUCUUUGGGAUAACGCCCGGAAACGGGUGCUAAUACUGGAUAUUCACUGGCCUUCGCAUGGGGGUUGGUGGAAAGGUUUGUUCUGGUGGGGGAUGGGCUCGCGGCCUAUCAGCUUGUUGGUGGGGUGAUGGCCUACCAAGGCUUUGACGGGUAGCCGGCCUGAGAGGGUGACCGGUCACAUUGGGACUGAGAUACGGCCCAGACUCCUACGGGAGGCAGCAGUGGGGAAUAUUGCACAAUGGGCGAAAGCCUGAUGCAGCGACGCCGCGUGAGGGAUGGAGGCCUUCGGGUUGUAAACCUCUUUCGCUCAUGGUCAAGCCGCAACAGUGGUUGUGGUGAGGGUAGUGGGUAAAGAAGCGCCGGCUAACCACGUGCCAGCAGCCGCGGUAAUACGUAGGGCGCGAGCGUUGUCCGGAAUUAUUGGGCGUAAAGGGCUUGUAGGCGGUUGGUCGCGUCUGCCGUGAAAUCCUCUGGCUUAACUGGGGGCGUGCGGUGGGUACGGGCUGACUUGAGUGCGGUAGGGGAGACUGGAACUCCUGGUGUAGCGGUGGAAUGCGCAGAUAUCAGGAAGAACACCGGUGGCGAAGGCGGGUCUCUGGGCCGUUACUGACGCUGAGGAGCGAAAGCGUGGGGAGCGAACAGG
rnacentral:rRNA from 1 species